rnacentral:rRNA from 1 species
UACGUAGGAUGCGAGCGUUAUCCGGAUUUAUUGGGUUUAAAGGGUGCGUAGGCGGUAUGGUAAGUCAGCGGUAAAAUCGCGGGGCUCAACCCCGCUCCGCCGUUGAAACUGUGUCCCUUGAGUGCGCGAAGGGUAUGCGGAAUGCGUGGUGUAGCGGUGAAAUGCAUAGAUAUCACGCAGAACCCCGAUUGCGAAGGCAGCAUACCGGUGCACAACUGACGCUCAAGCACGAAAGCGUGGGUAUCGAACAGG